rnacentral:rRNA from 1 species
GCCUACGGGGGGCAGCAGUGAGGAAUAUUGGUCAAUGGCCGGAAGGCUGAACCAGCCAAGCCGCGUGAAGGACGAAGGUGCCAAGCAUUGUAAACUUCUUUUGUCAAGGGACAAAAUCAGGCUCGAGAGCCUGACCGAGGGUACUUGAAGAAAAAGCAUCGGCUAACUACGUGCCAGCAGCCGCGGUAAUACGUAGGGGGCAAGCGUUAUCCGGAUUUACUGGGUGUAAAGGGAGCGUAGACGGCUGAGCAAGUCAGAAGUGAAAGCCCGGGGCUCAACCCCGGGACUGCUUUUGAAACUGCGGG